CCUCCAAGUUUGCCAUCGAAGGAUUCUGUGAGAGUCUGGCAGUGCAGCUCCUCAAAUUCAAUAUCUUCAUCUCUUUGGUGGAGCCUGGCCCGGUGAACACAGAAUUUGAGGCGAAGCUGAUGGAGGAGGUAUCACACGCCGAAUUCCCAGGAGCUGACCCUGCCACAGUGCGAUACUUCAAGGAGAUCUAUCUUCCAGCCUCACAUGAGAUAUUCGCCACCCUGGGCCAAUCCCCCGAGUCUGUGGCCAAGGCAGUCGUGACGGUGAUCGGCGAGGAGCGCCCGCCCUUCCG